rnacentral:rRNA from 1 species
AUACGGAGGGUGCAAGCGUUAAUCGGAAUUACUGGGCGUAAAGCGUACAUAGGCGGUUCGUUAAGUUAGAUGUGAAAGCCCCGGGCUUAACCUGGGAACUGCAUUUAAAACUGGCGAACUAGAGUUGAGUAGAGGGGAGUGGAAUUUCAGGUGUAGCGGUGAAAUGCGUAGAGAUCUGAAGGAACACCAGUGGCGAAGGCGACUCCCUGGACUCGAACUGACGCUGAGGUACGAAAGCGUGGGUAGCAAACGGGAUUAGAAACCCUAGUAGUCC